AAAGCGGACGAUCAGGCCGAACCCAGAGCGUGCAUGCUCCCUUCGUGUCCCUUGUCCUAAGUUAAUGAGUAAACUUUGGUUAGGACGUUUGGCUUGUGAUAUUUCGGUGGCGGACACCCAACGUCUUAUCCUUCACUUAAACUUAAUCCUGCAGACCCAGCACCGGGGCAGGUUAGCCUUUUCUUCUCCAAGCUCACCCGCCCUCGCCCCUAUAAACUACCAAUGGACAUCCUCUGUGUUGGUCACUGGGAAGCACUGAAGGCUCGAAGGUGAUCUUUGAAAUAGCAUGGAGGAUUGCAACGCGUGGACUGCACAGCCUCUCUCUUCUGACGACAUGCCCAGCUGUAUCACAGAGGAGAGUGUUAAGUCAGAACGGCGAUCUCCAUGACGACGGAGGGGAGCGGCUACCAAAAUGACCUUCCAAAGGACGGCCACCUCUGAAUGCUGUGAUACAGUGGUAACAUGGGAAAAUAAAGUCUAGCUAUUAGGAAUGAACUCUGUGAGGAGAAAGGAACCUUUAUUUAGGAAUUGUGUGAGAGAAAAGAGAGGUACAAGGAAAAUACAUUUCGAAGAUCUAACGACCACCACUUAUCUUAUCUCAAGACAAUAUUCAACUCUGUCAAAAUCCUAACAGUAAAGGAAAAAGAAAGCCUUCAACGAAUUCCCAUUUUACUUAAAAGCUCCAAAUACUCAAGUUACAAUCUAUAGACCACAUGAAGCUCAAGAAGAAGGAAGACCAAAGUGUGGGUGCUUCAGUCCUUCUUAGAAGGAAAACAAAAUACUUACAGGAGCAAAUAUGGAGACACAGUGUGGAGUAGAGACUGAAGGAAAGGCCAUCCAGAGACUGCCUCACCUGGGGAUUCAUUCUAUAUACAGUUACCAAACCCAAACACUUUCGUGGAUGCCAAGAAGUACAUGCUGACAGGAGCCUGAUAUGGCUGUCUCCUGAGAGGCCCUGCCAGAGCCUGACAAAUACAGAGGUGGAUGUUUGCAGCCAACCAUUGGAAUAAGCAUGGGGUCCCCAUAGAGGAGUUACAGAGAGGACUGAAGGAGCUGAAGGUGUUUGCAACCCCAUAGGAAGAACAAUAUCAACCAACCAGACACCCACCCACCCCAGAGUUCCCAGGGACUAAGCCACCAACCAAGGAGUACACAUGGCUGCAGCUGCAUAUGUAGCAGAGGAUGGCCUUGUCAGGCAUCAAUGGGAGGAGAGGUCUUUGGUCCUACGAAGGCUCUAUAGAUGCCCCAGUGUAGGGAAAUCAAGGGUGGGGAGGUGGGAAUGGGUAGGUGGGUGGAGGAGCACCCUCAUAGAAGCAGGGGGAGGGAGGAUGUGAUGGGGGUUUGUGUGUGGGGGACUGGGAAAGGGGAUAACAUUUGAAAUGUCAAUAAAGAAAAUGUCCAAUUAAAAAAAAACAAGCCGGGCA
rnacentral:lncRNA from 1 species